UGCAAUUUUGUUAUUGUAGUUAUGAUUGUAUAACCAAGUAAAUCAUUUAUUUAAAUAUAGACAACAAGGGUUUAAACAAACUGUUGCUUUCAAUGUACCCUUUCAAAAACUACGACUUUGUACAUGUGAUUGAGAUUCUCUAUUAUUAUUUUCCAAUAUCUGUUUUAUUUGAUUCUUUAUUAAUGUACAACAAACAACCGUUCUUUCGUUGAUCUUUUCAGUUGUAAACUAUACCAUAUGUGAUGUGAAUAUUGUCAACAAUAAAAGAUGAUUCACAUUACAUGUUAUUAUACUACUAGGGGAGUAUAUUGCUACGUACCUUUCAAACUGAACAUUGUUUUAGUAUUUUCACAUGGAUUUAAAAGGGUAGUUGUUCUAGUAUACAAUUUAUACAACAAGGUUGAAUCUUGAAAAUUUAUUAUACUUUACAUUUCCACCAUUUUUAUUAAAAGUAAAUGAUAGAUUGUGCUGAAAACAUGAAACAACAUGUUCUAAAAACAAAAAUAUUAGUUUCAAAUGACAAUUGAUUUGAAACGAAAUGGGUAAUCAUGUGCCAACUACUUAACUCCCCAUCUCAUUUUUCUACAAAGACAUUAGUAUAGUAUGACAACUGAUUUGAGACAGAUGAGUAAUCAAGUGUUAACUCUCUACAUCCAUUUUACUUAUAUUUGUGUGCUAACUGUGCGUAGUUAAGACUAUUAAAUUCGAGAGGGCAAAAACAUUUGUUAGUGGUUUUGAGAAAAUGCAGAAUUUUAGGUAGAUUUUGUUAUUCCCUCAGUAUACAAAUAUAUGAUGUUUAAGGUUUUUUCACACAUAUUUAAAAACAAUAAGUACACUUUUUUACUUCUUACUUUUUAGUUUUAUCAAUAAAGUUUCACCACUCAUAAUUUUACUUUUUAAUUUUACAAAUAAGUGCAUUAAUUAUAUCAUAAAACAUCAUACAUUUGUAAACAACAUAAAAAGCUAGAACAAUACUUGUAUAUGGAGAAAGUAUUUAUCUAGUGCAUGAUAAGGUCUAGACUCUAGAUUAUAUGUUAACAUUUAUUUAUAUUCCACUAAAAACAGUCAUGUAUUUGUGUGAUAAUACAAGUGUGAAUUGUGAAUUUGUGAUAAGGUCUUUGCUGACCAAGUCUACCAUAAAGCUAUCUCAUACAGUCAGAUUGAUAUUCUGUUCGAACAUUCGUUCAUUCUUUGAUUGAUACUUUCUAACUUUAUUGGCCAUCGAAAAAAGUUUCAUCUGGACCACUUAUAUGUUGGAAGUAAUACAAUCUCUUAUAUAUAUAGUUAUUAGUUUUGGCAGCAUACAUUCUACCGAUUUUAAGUUGCAUAGUUAUGACCUAAUACAAAUUUUCUUUAUGAUUACAAAAUAAGUUUAAAAUUGUUACUUAAAAUGCUGAAGAUAAACAAAUAAGUUCAUAACGACGAGGAGUCACUGGUAAUCGGGUUCAAAGUCUGAUGCAGUUGUUUCCCAAACACAUUUUAGCACAGUUUAAACUUUAAACAUUCUGAAUAGUUUUGUCCUGUUUAUCUAUGGAAAAUAAUAUAGUUUUGUUAACGUGAUACAUACACUUGUUUACUGUAAAAAUAUAAUAUCGUUUUACUAUAAGAAGAAACGAUGUCAACGUAGGAAAAACGUUACGGGGAUCAACAUAUUUGUAUUUUAGAUUAUUUUAAAAAGAAUCUGAAGGAAGGAUACACGGAAAUUUUCUAAGCGACAAGAUGAGUCAAGAGGUCGGACCGACGACAUUUCAAACCUCUCUCCGCGUCGGGUUCCCUUUCUAUAUUGUUCCUUUCUACACUUUUUUAUUGUAAAAGAACAACAACAAAAAAACUAAAUUAAUAUUAAGAAGAAAAGGGAAAGUAUUAUUUUACUUUCCUACUCUUUUGGCACUUAAAAUGAGUCCUAUGGCGUCACUUUCUUUGCGUCAUUCAUCGUUUUCCCGAUCUCUACAGUCUAGACAAUGGACACACAAUAAUACUCUUUUUUUAUUCUUAAGUUAAACUCUGUAUUAGUGACAAAAAAAUGGUUAAACUCUGUAUUAGUUUUUUUUUUCAAGGCAUUAAACUCUGUAUAAGUUUCUAAUAAAAAAGAGUUAAACUCUAUAGAAAUUCUUGACACGGUAACCUCUUCUAUUUACAAAUUAAGUUCGUUGAACUCAUCUCAACGAGCUAAUUCAACUUUAUUCAUUCUGACGAUUUAUAUUUAUCACUUCUACUUUCUAGAGUUAGUUUGCUAUUUACUUUCAAAUAAUUAGAAUACAUGCAAGCAAAAGUAUUCCUGGAAAGAGUUAAUCAUUUAAAAAAAAAACCAAAUACUAUAUUGAUUGGAAUUAUAUUGUAAUGUAGAUUUUCUAAGUUAAUUAAAACUAUGUUGUAAUGUACUAGAUUCUAUUUUGUAUUUUAUAAGAUUAUAAUAUAGGAUAGAAAAGAAUUGUAAGAUGUUAUUUGGAUUUUUAACUUAUCGGGACAACGAAUAUGUUGAACCAAAUACGUACAACGAAUAGAUGUUUUGAUUAACAUAUUUUAAAAGUAGCUUAUAGUUCAUUUUAAGAUGUUAUAACAAAAACUCUUUUAAGGUUCCGAAGUAGCUUAUAGUUCAUUUAAACACAACUAGUUUAAAAGUAGAAUGAAUCAGCUCACAAUAUAAUGAUUCAGUUUGACAUCCUAACUCAAUGCUUCAUAAUUAUUCCAAAAGAGUACAUAUAUAAUACUAAUCAAUGGAGGAAUAUCUUUGCGUAUGUGUCUCAGCAGUCUCAAGUCUCAACGCUAAGCAGCAAUAUUUAAUUCGUACUUCUGUAAGAAUGAAACAGAAAAUAAAUUAAAAAGGCAACUUGUAAAUUGGACUCAUUAAAAUAGCAAUCUAUAAUAAUAAAGUUGCCCAGAAACUCUCCUCCUUGAGCCACCUCAGCAGAGGCUAUUCCAAAAUUGAACACGUGUCCACUUCUUAAAAAAGCUUUCGUAAUGUUCGUUUCUGUUUAUGAGCCAAUUGUUUUGGAUUCUGCUUAAUUUAUAAGGCCCAACUUUAUUUUUCAUACACUCAAUAACUUAAGUUUUGUCCAGCUCGGUGGCCCACCUUCUUAGGAGAGACGACGUAGCUCCUAAAGUCUUGACGCCUCCAGCAAUGGCUGUGUAACCGCUACCGUUUGCAUUCCUCUGGCGUAUUAAAUCAAACAGUCGAAGGUAACAGCUAAAACCUCCGGCUAUAAAUUUGCUCCAAAUCUGCGAUGAAUUUCCUCACCCCCAACGAAUUCAGUCAAGAUCAAUCUGUCAAUGACGAACUUUACCAAUGGAGAUGAUGACUUGAAAGCUGUGUGUUGUUCAAACACUAGGAGGCACGGAAUGACAAGAAAGGUGUCAAACUCAUGGGACUUCACAUGCUCCUAUCGUUGGUGUUAUCGGAAUUGAGACGAACCAUAAUCUUCAUUUCUUCCUGGACAAGAAACCUUUAUAAAACCUGAAACUUAAUCCCAGAAAGUCAAUUGCGUGUAAGCAGUGUUCCGGCCAGAGUAAAGAGAAUCAGAUCAAGAUCGAGUUUCCUAUGGAAGUAUCACAUUGCAUAGAAUCAAUUUCAGUUUGUUGUCAUUUGGAGGUAAAAUCCAUCUGGCAUUUGAUCUGUGACUCGAGAGAAAGUCAUUGUUUUCUGAAUCAGAAACUUGGGUUUAACAAACCAAGUCUUUCAGUUUCAUAGAAGGGUUUUGCGAGGUCAUUACACGACGUACCAGAGAGAGACAAAGAGUGAUAAAGAUGUUUAUGGAAAUGUAUUACUGCAUAAAAUUCAUAGAAAGUGAAAUCUUAUCAAUCGGAUUUAAAGUCAAUGCAUAAAAUGAUUUGUAAGUUGAUC